GAUCCUGGCUCAGGAUGAACGCUGGCGGCGUGCUUAACACAUGCAAGUCGAACGAAGCGAUUUAACGGAAGUUUUCGGAUGGAAGUUAAAUUGACUGAGUGGCGGACGGGUGAGUAACGCGUGGGUAACCUGCCUCAUACAGGGGGAUAACAGUUAGAAAUGACUGCUAAUACCGCAUAAGCGCACAGUACCGCAUGGUACGGUGUGAAAAACUCCGGUGGUAUGAGAUGGACCCGCGUCUGAUUAGCUAGUUGGUGGGGUAACGGCCUACCAAGGCGACGAUCAGUAGCCGACCUGAGAGGGUGACCGGCCACAUUGGGACUGAGACACGGCCCAAACUCCUACGGGAGGCAGCAGUGGGGAAUAUUGCACAAUGGGCGAAAGCCUGAUGCAGCGACGCCGCGUGAGCGAUGAAGUAUUUCGGUAUGUAAAGCUCUAUCAGCAGGGAAGAAAAUGACGGUACCUGACUAAGAAGCACCGGCUAAAUACGUG
rnacentral:rRNA from 1 species